rnacentral:rRNA from 1 species
UGGGGAAUUUUGGACAAUGGGCGCAAGCCUGAUCCAGCAAUGCCGCGUGCAGGAUGAAGGCCUUCGGGUUGUAAACUGCUUUUGUACGGAACGAAAAGGCUCUGGCUAAUACCUGGGGCACAUGACGGUACCGUAAGAAUAAGCACCGGCUAACUACGUGCCAGCAGCCGCGGUAAUACGUAGGGUGCGAGCGUUAAUCGGAAUUACUGGGCGUAAAGCGUGCGCAGGCGGUUUUGUAAGACAGAGGUGAAAUCCCCGGGCUCAACCUGGGAACUGCCUUUGUGACUGCAAGGCUGGAGUGCGGCAGAGGGGGAUGGAAUUCCGCGUGUAGCAGUGAAAUGCGUAGAUAUGCGGAGGAACACCGAUGGCGAAGGCAAUCCCCUGGGCCUGCACUGACGCUCAUGCACGAAAGCGUGGGGAGCAAACAGGAUUAGAUACCCCUGGUAGUCCACGCCCUAAACGAUGUCAACUGGCUUGUUGGGGUCUUAAUUGACUCAGUAACGAAGCUAACGCGUGAAGUUGGACCNCCUGGGGAGUACGGCCGCAAGGUUGAAACUCAAAGGAAUUG